CAAGCCCACCCGGGAUGGUGACUUGAGCGUUUGUACCCAACCCACGCCCCAUACCCCAUAGUCUUAAAACAAUACAAUAUACCUUUUCAGUCCCCAUGUGUCCAUGCAGAUCCUUUUCAUUAGUUGAAUAUUGUCUAAUGAUGCUAGGUAAUAAUGAUGUCAAUAGUGAUUGUGUGCAGUAUGCGUGUUAGCUUUGAAUCUCUGAAUGCUACAUCGUAUCUCCGUUGUGUUUCCGCUUGAAGAGCGACUGAUUUUAGUUGUUUAAUGCAAUCGGAGAACCUGAUUUGAUCUCCGUCGUAUCUCCGCCGUGUCUCAGCCUUCUCCAACGAAACCCUAGCUUUUCUCAGUCUCACGUGUUUGUUUAUGUAAUUUGACAAAAUUGCCCAUGUUCCCUAGUUCCCCACUUUUUUAGUGUUCCCCAAUGAACUCUACCCUAUAUAUAUAUAUAUAUAAAAAAGCUGAUGUGGCUUGGCCACACCAGCCAAGCCACGCCCACCAAACCCCCUUCAAAAGUGGGUUGAAGCCUUGAGUUUUGAAAGUCCACGUGUCAUCAAUGCCCAACCCAAGCCCCACCAUACCCCAUGAUCUAACAAGAAGAAAAAGUGCUUGACAAACUCACAAGCACUUUUCAAAAUCACUUUUUGCAUAGGGAAUAAAAGUUAGUUUUGAAAAGUUAGCAAA